GUGUCAGCAGCCGCGGUAAUACAGAGGGUGCAAGCGUUGUCCGGAAUGAUUGGGCGUAAAGCAUUUGUAGGUGGUUUCUAAAGUCAACUGUUAAAUCCCAGAGCUCAACUUUGGACAAGCAGUUGAGUACUUAGGGACUUGAGUAUGGUAGGGGUAGAGGGAAUUCCUAGUGAAGCGGUGAAAUGCACAGAGAUUAGGAAGAACACCAGUGGCGAAAGCGCUCUACUGGGCCAUUACUGACACUGAGAGAUGAAAGUCGGGGGAGCGAAAAGGAUUAGAUACCCUUGUAGUCCCGACCAUAAACGAUGGAUACUAAGUGCUGUCAAAAACAGUGCUGUAGCAACGCGUUAAGUAUCCCGCCUGGGGAGUAUGCUCGCAAGAGUGAAACUCAAAUGAAUUGGCGGGG
rnacentral:rRNA from 1 species